UCCGGCUUAUCACCGGCAGUCCCCUUAGAGUGCCCAACUGAAUGAUGGCAACUAAGGGCGAGGGUUGCGCUCGUUGUGGGACUUAACCCAACAUCUCACGACACGAGCUGACGACAGCCAUGCAGCACCUGUGUUACGGCUCCCUUUCGGGCACACCCCCAUCUCUGGAGGCUUCCGUACAUGUCAAGGGUAGGUAAGGUUUUUCGCGUUGCAUCGAAUUAAUCCACAUAAUCCACCGCUUGUGCGGGUCCCCGUCAAUUCCUUUGAGUUUUAACCUUGCGGCCGUACUCCCCAGGCGGAACACUUAACGCGUUAGCUCCGGCACAGCGGGGGUUGAGACCCGCCACGCCAAGUGUUCAUCGUUUAGGGCCGGGACUAC
rnacentral:misc_RNA from 1 species